GCCUUUGUACACACCGCCCGUCGCUAGUACCGAUUGAAUGGCUUAGUGAGGCCUCAGGAUUGGUUUAAAGGAGGAGGCAACUCCACCUUGGAACUGAGAAUCUGGUCAAACUUGGUCAUUUAGAGGAACUAAAAGUCGUAACAAGGUUUCCGUAGGUGAACCUGCGGAAGGAUCAUUA
rnacentral:rRNA from 1 species